rnacentral:lncRNA from 1 species
CAGGCCUGUUCCCUAACUGCCUUCCUCUUCUAGGUCAGACAAUCUCCAAUCUGAGCAGGAACAGGUCACAACCCAGGAUGAGAGCCUCCUGCAGACAGAGCUGCUGCAGCAGGAGCACUAAGUCUCACAGCAGACCUUGAGAAAACUGAGGAGGCCUAAGAAGCCACAAACACCUUGGACCCAUGUAAGUUCUCCAGCCCUGGAUCAAGGCCUACUCAAAAAAAGACACUUUUGAUAGCUGUGAACUCUCUAGUGAGGCAAAUACCAGCUGACUUGCACGUGAUCCAGCCACAAUCAGAUAUAGGUCCUCCUGAAGAAAAGAAAACAUCAAAAAUGAGUUAAGAUACAGAAAACCUGAGACUAGAAUUACUGAGAACCCUGACAUUCAACAGAAUGUGGCCCUGUGAGGGGAACAACCACAUGGAGGGUACAGAUGUUGAUGAGCAAGACUUUUCUGUCAGUUCAAUGAUGACUGCUUUGGCAGUUGACUGUGUCCUCAGCCCUCUCUGUGUGGUAGGAAAUCUGCCAUUGAGGAAUGUGUUGAUGCCAACCAGUUCCAGAAAGACCACACCCAAAUCAUCAUAUUUCAUUCUCCAGUCCAGUGUUGAAGCUGAGUCCAUGCAUAAUUGUUGAUGAAGAAAAUUCACUCCAGAGAUGGUGGCUGUCCCUCACCCCUCCUGUGAGUCAUGUGAUCCUCCAUAUGUAAGACUAAUAGGAAUUCUUCAGUUUUCCAGCCCAGACUAAAGUGACUGGUCCUGAGAAAGGAUUUUUAGAAGACAUCUGAGUCUGAUGUUCUUAGGCACUCAGAUGCUGUCCCCGGUUUUCUUGGGUCUCUGGAAGGCACACAAGUGUAUGUUGCCUGAAAGAGUCAAAUAGUGGCCACGACAUUACAGGAUUGGCAGUGUGUGAUAUUUAUCAAAUCUUCCCAUAGGGCCACAAAGAAUGUUCUUGGAACUUGUCUCAUACGUAGCCUUGAUGAGGGCUUGACUUGCAAAGCCCCAAUGAGGCAUUGCUGUACUGGCUUUCAAAAGCUUUUUAUAUCUGGUGACUGCCUUCCCACCUUGUUUCCAAGGUCAGCCGUAAGCUGUUGUCUGUGCUGCUAAAUCUGCAGCAAGAGACUGUGGCUUAGCUUAAUUUUUCACUUGGGUUUUGGUUGGGUAUUGUUUGCUUUGGGUUUUUUGAUUAUUUGUUUAUUUUAUUUGUUAUGGUUUGAAAUUUUGCUGUUUAUUUGUUCUUUCUUUUGUUCUUUUUGUUGCAUUGGUAUUUUGUUAAGGUUUCUCACUGUUUAUGUUGAUUGCUCCCUUUAAGCCCCC